GCGAGUGUAACUCAAUGGUAGAGUAUCUGCCUUCCAAGCAGAAUGUUGUGAGUUCGAGUCUCAUCACUCGCU
rfam:Lentisphaera araneosa HTCC2155 1101329224559, whole genome shotgun sequence.